rnacentral:lncRNA from 1 species
CCAGCUGGUUUGCAUUGCAAUGGCAUGUGUUCCAAGCAUCCUAUAUUCCAAGUCACAUCUAAAAGCACACAGGGGAAGCCGCCAACUCUGAAAUUAGUAGUCUUAAUAUUUUAUUAGUUGAUAAUAAAUUUCUGCAAUUGGAGGAUUGAUUUGAUCCUAUGGCUCUUAUUGUGUUGUUUUUUUCUCAUAUCCACUACAAGGUUAGGAUCUUCACCAGCUUCAACUCAACUUAUGGAGGAUUCAAUGACAGUAUGAAGUAAACUCCAUUAUAGUCAUCAACAUUAAAAUGAUUCAAUUUGGAAAAAAAAACAUGUAUAGAUUUCAAAAUUUGAAUUAAAACCCAACAUUUGUGAUAUGAUCAGGGUGUUCACCGUCUUGUGGUUUAGAUUCGAGUCGAGCUAGUCGUCUUGUUGUUAAAGCUUUGCCCUUCUCUUAUAACUCACCAAAAAAUAUAUAUAUAAUAAGUGAGUUCUGACUUAGUCAACCCAAUGCUUUUCAUUGUGCAGCUACAUUGUAACUUCAAUAUUUCUAUUACUUUUAUUCGGUUAAAUGAAAGCAAGUUAAUUAAAAUUA